rnacentral:rRNA from 1 species
UACAGAGGUCUCAAGCGUUGUUCGGAUUCAUUGGGCGUAAAGGGUGCGUAGGUGGGUUGGUAAGUCAGUGGUGAAAUCUCCGAGCUUAACUUGGAAACUGCCAUUGAUACUAUCAGUCUUGAAUAUUGUGGAGGUCAGCGGAAUAUGUCAUGUAGCGGUGAAAUGCUUAGAUAUGACAUAGAACACCAAUUGCGAAGGCAGCUGGCUACACAUAUAUUGACACUGAGGCACGAAAGCGUGGGGAUCAAACAGG